AACGAACGCUGGCGGCAGGCUUAACACAUGCAAGUCGAACGCUCCGCAAGGGGAGUGGCGCACGGGUGCAUAACGCGUGGGGAUCUGCCUUUCUGUUCGGAACAACACCGGGAAACUGGUGCUAAUACCGGAUACACCAAUAGGUCAUGGUAGCUUAUUGGGAAAGAUUUAUCGCAGAAAGAUGAACCCGCGUCUGAUUAGCUAGUUGGUGAGGUAACGGCUCACCAAGGCUACGAUCAGUAGCUGGUCUGAGAGGAUGAUCAGCCACACUGGAACUGAGACACGGUCCAGACUCCUACGGGAGGCAGCAGUGGGGAAUAUUGGACAAUGGGCGAAAGCCUGAUCCAGCCAUGCCCGUGAGUGAUGAAGGCCUUCGGGUUGUAAAGCUCUUUUGGGUGGGACGAUAAUGACGGUACCACCAGGAUAAGAUCCGGCAAACUUCGUGCCAGCAGCCGCGGUAA
rnacentral:rRNA from 1 species